rnacentral:rRNA from 1 species
AUUGAACGCUGGCGGCAUGCCUAACACAUGCAAGUCGAACGGCAGCACGGCAGUAGCAAUACUGUGGGUGGCGAGUGGCGGACGGGUGAGGAAUACGUCGGAAUCUGCCCAGUCGUGGGGGAUAACUAGCCGAAAGGUUAGCUAAUACCGCAUACGACCGAGAGGUGAAAGCGGGGGACCGCAAGGCCUCGCGCGAUUGGAUGAGCCGACGUCGGAUUAGCUAGUUGGUGGGGUAAAGGCCCACCAAGGCGACGAUCCGUAGCUGGUCUGAGAGGAUGAUCAGCCACACUGGAACUGAGACACGGUCCAGACUCCUACGGGAGGCAGCAGUGGGGAAUAUUGGACAAUGGGCGCAAGCCUGAUCCAGCAAUGCCGCGUGUGUGAAG